UACGGGGGGGGGCAAGCGUUGUUCGGAAUUACUGGGCGUAAAGGGCUCGUAGGUGGCCAACUAAGUCAUACGUGAAAUCCCUCGGCUUAACCGGGGGAACUGCGUCUGAUACUGGAUGGCUUGAGGUUGGGAGAGGGAUGCGGAAUUCCAGGUGUAGCGGUGAAAUGCGUAGAUAUCUGGAGGAACACCGGUGGCGAAGGCGGCAUCCUGGACCAAUUCUGACACUGAGGAGCGAAAGCCAGGGGAGCAAACGGG
rnacentral:rRNA from 1 species